rnacentral:rRNA from 1 species
UGGGGAAUAUUGGACAAUGGGCGCAAGCCUGAUCCAGCCAUGCCGCGUGAGUGAUGAAGGCCCUAGGGUUGUAAAGCUCUUUUGUGCGGGAAGAUAAUGACGGUACCUGAAGAAGAAGCUGCGGCUAACUACGUGCCAGCAGCCGCGGUAAUACGUAGGCAGCAAGCGUUGUUCGGAGUUACUGGGCGUAAAGAGUGUGUAGGCGGUUCUCUAAGUUCGGUGUGAAAUCUCCCGGCUCAACUGGGAGGGUGCGCCGGAAACUGGAGGGCUUGAGUAUGGGAGAGGAAAGCGGAAUUCCUGGUGUAGCGGUGAAAUGCGUAGAUAUCAGGAGGAACACCUGCGGUGUAGACAGCUUUCUGGACCAUCACUGACGCUGAGACACGAAAGCGUGGGUAGCAAACAGGAUUAGAUACCCGGGUAGUCC